UACAGAGGGUGCGAGCGUUGUCCGGAAUCACUGGGCGUAAAGGGCGCGUAGGUGGCGACCCAAGUCCGUGGUGAAAGCUCGUCGCUUAACGACGAGUCGGCCACGGAGACUGGGUGGCUCGAGCACUGUAGGGGCAGAUGGAAUUCCGGGUGUAGCGGUGGAAUGCGUAGAGAUCCGGAAGAACACCAGUGGCGAAGGCGGCUCACUGGACUGGUAUUGACGCUGAGGUGCGAAAGCGUGGGGAGCAAACAGG
rnacentral:rRNA from 1 species